CUGGACGGAAUCUGAUAAGGGA
rnacentral:miRNA from 10 species